UACGAAGGGUGCAACCGUUGCUCGGAAUCAUUGGGCGUAAAGCGCACGUAGGCGGCUUCGCAAGUCGGAUGUGAAAUCCCUCGGCUCAACCGAGGACGUGCAUCCGAAACUGCGGAGCUUGAGUAUGGAAGAGGGUCGCGGAAUUCCCGGUGUAGAGGUGAAAUUCGUAGAUAUCGGGAGGAACACCUGUGGCGAAGGCGACCCCCUGGUUGGAUACUGACGCUGAGACGCGAAAGCGUGGGGAGCAAACAGG
rnacentral:rRNA from 1 species